rnacentral:rRNA from 1 species
UACAGAGGUCUCAAGCGUUGUCCGGAAUCAUUGGGCGUAAAGCGCGCGUAGGCGGCCCGGUAAGUCCGCUGUGAAAGUCAAAGGCUCAACCUUUGAAUGUCAGCGGAUACUGCCGGGCUAGAGUCCGGAAGAGGCGAGUGGAACUCCUGGUGUAGCGGUGGAAUGCGCAGAUAUCAGGAGGAACACCAAUGGCGAAGGCAGCUCUCUGGUACGUGACUGACGCUGAGACGCGAAAGCGUGGGUAGCAAACGGG